GCGGAUGUUAAAAUAUGGAGCAGAGCAGACAGAUAAAAAUGAGAAAAGCUGUAGGCAAUGGUAGCCAAUAGUGAGUGGAGGCAGACAACGCAAUGGAGGCUCUCAAGGUCUGGACACUCUCUUCUAAGCCAUUUCGCCACCUCCUCCACUUAGCCUCUUCCAACACCACAACCAGACCUUGCUACUCUACUCUGGUUCUCCGCUCCUCCUCCUCCGGGGUCGGUGGCCGCAAUCGCAGGUCCUCCUCCUCUUCUUCUUCUUCCUCUCUCAACCUUUAUGAGUUUUCCGGCCUCUCCUCAAACGCUAGGUUCAAACUCACGCCACGCAAGUCCUCGCAAUUACAAGGUCAAGCUCAAUAAGAUCAAUCCAUGGUUUGUUUUGAUAGAAGACUUUUGUUCUGGGAAUUGUAAAACACUCCACUUCGAUUUGGGUUCCAGUCAAAAAUGGAGAUUGGGCUUGUGGGUUUGUUAAGGGCUGCUUGGAUAGCUGGGAUUCUGCUUAUAGUUAUAGCUUCCUUGCCUUAUUCUAGGCUUGGUUUAUUUCAUGGACUUGUUUUGGAGUUUGCAAAGAGAGGAAAGAUCAUGCAAUCAUCGCCUUACCAUAAAUUCACUGUUCCUCAAAGAUUCUUCUCUCAUUUCUAUAUGAUGGCUGUGGUCUGGACAACCCUCCUUCUUCUUACUACAUGGAUAUAUGCAUAUAGAACAGCAUCAUUGGUGCCUGAGCCAUACUUUUACUCUAGUAUAUCCAGCUACUUGGCAGGAGGUUCUAACAUCUUUCCAUUUCAUAAAUUGCAUUUGAUUUCUUCAGAGCAUAGAUGCAGCAUUUGGCUUUCUGUGUUUUUGCUGCUAUUAAUGGAAGUUCAAGUCUUAAGACGUCUUUUGGAGACAAUGUAUGUAUUUAACUACAACCCCUCAGCUCGGAUGCACAUUUUCGGCUAUCUUACUGGCUUGUACUUCUACGUAGCAGCACCCUUGUCACUCUGCUGCACUUGUGCACCUGAGAUGUUUAAAUUUGGCACAAAUGAAAUUACUCAGUUCAUUGUUAAAGGCAAGGACGCAAUGCAGGCCAUUGAAUUUGAUUGGUAUGACUUUGUGAAUCCGCUUUUGAAGCUUGGAUGGUGCCAGUGGGUUGGUGCUACUAUCUUCUUUUGGGGUUGGAUUCAUCAGCUUCGUUGCCAUGCAAUUCUUGUGAGUGCCACAAUUUCAUGAUUACUCACUCAUUUAAAGCAAAUUGUGGAUUAACAAUGCUUUGUAAUUGCUUUUGCUAAAAAAAGUUACUAGCUUUUUUACUUUUCCAACUAAAACUCUAUAUCUUUGUUGGAAUUUUAAUGGAUUUUUCUUGCAUAUACUCUGUUUAUACAUACCACAACUUUCAUGGGUAGAGCUCUAACCAUGUGAGUGGUGGUGAUAUACAUCUAGUAUAGGUAAGAAUUUUCCUAUUGGGCAUGAGUUAAUUAUGACUAAAGAUGGCUGUUGUGGUCUUCAUUCUUCUCCUUGUCUAAGAAACAAAAAAUUAUACAUUUAUAGUCAUUAACUUUAUCGCUAAUUCAACGCAAUUACCAAACUUUAGUUUUCAUAAGCAAAAUCACUUAGUUUUUCUUUGUUUUAACAAGUUCACUUGCUAGCUUUUGGUAGAGUUUUAUGUAAGAUUUUGAUAAUGCAACCAAGUAAAAUCUUUUUCAUUUAGUUCUAUGAUUGAAAAUAUGCUAUAGGACAUUAAAAUUUUUUCCUUACUUGGUGAACACAUAAAAAAACAAAUUUGGUUAAUCUCUUCAAAAAUUUAGUAAUAGUGACCUUACUGAAAUAAAAAUAAAGGUUAUAUGAUUUGGUCAAUACAAAUUGAAGUUUAGUGAAUGUUUUUAAAUUUAUCAAGAAGUUUAUUAACCAUUUUUAAGAUUAAGCCAAAUGAUUUUAAUUUAACUCUUUGAGAUAACUUGUCCUCAAAGAUGAUAAAUAUUCAAUUAUAGAAGCAUGUCCUUAAUAGGUUGGUCAGUGCAAGGGUCAAUUAUCCAAAAGGAAGAUUUUGGACAUUUUGAUUUUUCAAUAAAAUGAAGUCAAGGUGAUAAAUAUUUUAGAUGGAAAAUCACUUUUCUCUGAAGUUAGUACAUCUUGUUAUAGUUAAUAUCUAUUAAAAACUACUUCAUGUGAAUGAAUGUGCAUCUUAGUCAAUGAUAUCAUGUUCAUUAAAUUUGUUCAGUUGUGAUGUAGCAUAGUUGCAUCAUGAAAAUAGUGUAAGUUAUUUCUAUUGAUGAAUUGUGGCACUAGUUUCUCUCGCAGCCGCUCGAUUUUUCAAGCUAGUGGGAAUUGGAGAACACAGUGGGUUAGUAAUACAUGCACACUCGCACACACAAGCACAUGUACAACAUCAGUCCUUAACAUUUCUUUAUUCUCUUUUUUCUUGAUUCUAUGGAGCAUAGACAACUGUCAAAUCAACUUGUAUGAGACAAAAUGGGGUGAAAUCAUUCUGUAAGGCACCUAUCCAUGUUCAUCCAUCUGUGUUGAUUUCAUAUAUGUUAACAAGGAUGAUGAAACUGCUGCAAAUUUAAUAAGCCGACUCAAAAUCCUCACAUUCACUGUCCUGUUGUUAAUUAGGGGUCACUACGAGAACAUGGAAGAGGAAUUGAUGAAUAUGUUAUCCCUUACGGUGAUUGGUUUGAGAUUGUUUCAUCUCCACACUAUCUGGCUGAGAUUGUAAGUCAGUCGUUCUCACUCAAGCACAUUUUGUGAUUCUCUCCUUGAUUAAGUGGUUGAAAAGCCUAAGGCCCACUUUUUAUGCUUCUUCCUGCUUUAUGGAAAUGAUGCACAGAUUAUAUAUGCUGGUAUGGUUGUUGCUAGUGGAGGAGCAGACCUUACCAUUUGGUUCCUUUUUGCAUUUGUGGUAUUAUUCCUUGUUCAUGGUAUUUGGAAAAUGCUUCUUUUUUAAUUGAGCUUUCCUUCAGUCACCAUACAAGACCUGAAUGUUUUUGUGUUGGGUGGUGGCAGGUGGCAAAUCUAGUAUUUGCAGCAGCAGAAACACACAGGUGGUAUCUUCGUAAAUUUGACAAUUAUCCAAGCAACCGUCUCGCUAUUAUUCCAUUUAUUUAUUAAUACAUGUAUGUGGCUGUAUAUGUAAUCACACUAGGGUAUGCCUACCAUCGCAUGAUCAAGCAAUGGCUGUUGCAAAUUGUAGACAUUUGGUUGGAAAAUUUUUGAUAGAAAAUCAAAUUGGUUUUUAGUUGAUGAUAUCUAAUUGUGGAGUUAAUUUCU
rnacentral:misc_RNA from 1 species